UACGGGGGGGGCAAGCGUUGUUCGGAAUUACUGGGCGUAAAGGGCUCGUAGGCGGCCACCUAAGUCCGACGUGAAAUCCCCAGGCUUAACCUGGGAACUGCGUCGGAUACUGGAUGGCUUGAAUCCGGGAGAGGGAUGCGGAAUUCCAGGUGUAGCGGUGAAAUGCGUAGAUAUCUGGAGGAACACCGGUGGCGAAGGCGGCAUCCUGGACCGGCAUUGACGCUGAGGAGCGAAAGCCAGGGGAGCAAACGGG
rnacentral:rRNA from 1 species